GAUGAACGCUGGCGGCGUGCCUAAUACAUGCAAGUCGAGCGAAUGGAUUAAGAGCUUGCUCUUAUGAAGUUAGCGGCGGACGGGUGAGUAACACGUGGGUAACCUGCCCAUAAGACUGGGAUAACUACGGGAAACCGGGGCUAAUACCGGAUAACAUUUUGAACCGCAUGGUUCGAAAUGGAAAGGCGGCUUCGGCUGUCACUUAUGGAUGGACCCGCGUCGCAUUAGCUAGUUGGUGAGGUAACGGCUCACCAAGGCAACGAUGCGUAGCCGACCUGAGAGGGUGAUCGGCCACACUGGGACUGAGACACGGCCCAGACUCCUACGGGAGGCAGCAGUAGGGAAUCUUCCGCAAUGGACGAAAGUCUGACGGAGCAACGCCGCGUGAGUGAUGAAGGCUUUCGGGUCGUAAAACUCUGUUGUUAGGGAAGAACAAGUGCUAGUUGAAUAAGCUGGCACCUUGACGGUACCUAACCAGAAAGCCACGGCUAACUACGUGCCAGCAGCCGCCGUAA
rnacentral:rRNA from 1 species